rfam:Oryza punctata chromosome 1, whole genome shotgun sequence.
AAUAAUUGUAGUUUUGCAUUCUUUAUGUCUGAUCGUCUGUCUGAUUUGAAAUUUUUUUUAUUAGUAUUUUUGUUGUUAUUAGAUGAUAAAACAUGAAUAGCAAUUUAUGUGUGACUAUUUUUUAAAAAAUUUUGAAAUAAGACGAACAGUCAAACGUUGGACACGAAAACUCACGGCUAGACUUAUU